rnacentral:misc_RNA from 1 species
GAUGAGAACGUAGCGAAAUGCGAUAAGUAAUGUGAAUUGCAGAAUUCAGUGAAUCAUCGAAUCUUUGAACGCACAUUGCGCCCACCAGUAUUCUGGUGGGCAUGCCUGUUCGAGCGUCAUUUCAACCCUUAAGCCCUGGUUGCUUAGCGUUGGGAGCCUACCGGACCCCGUCCCGUAGCUCCCCAAAGUCAGUGGCGGAGCCGGUUUAACACUCCAGACGUAGUAGCUUUUACACAUCGCCUGUAGCCUAAGCCCGGCGCCCUGCCGUAAAACACCCCCCAAUGUAUAGGUUGACCUCGGAUCAGGUAGGAAUACCCGCUGAACUUAAGCAUAUCAAUAAGCGGAGGA